AGAGUUUGAUCAUGGCUCAGAGCGAACGUUGCGGCGGGCUAACACAUGCAAGUCGAACGAGAACUCGGGCUUCGGCCUGGGGGAAAGUGGCGCACGGGUGCGUAACACGUGGGUAAUCAACCCUCUGGAUUGGGACAACCCGGGGAAACUCGGGCUAAUACCGAAUGUGUCGUGGGAGUCUUAGGGCUUCCACGGGAAAGGCCCGCAAGGGCUACCAGAGGACGAGCUCGCGGCCCAUCAGCUAGUUGGUGAGGUAAUGGCUCACCAAGGCUAAGACGGGUAGCUGGUCUGAGAGGAUGAUCAGCCACACUGGAACUGAGACACGGUCCAGACUCCUACGGGAGGCAGCAGUGGGGAAUAUUGCGCAAUGGGCGAAAGCCUGACGCAGCCACGCCGCGUGUGCGAUGAAGGUCUUCGGAUCGUAAAGCACUGUGGGGGGAGAAGAACAAAGCCGGUGAAGAGCCGGCCCUGACGGUAUCCCCUUAGCAAGCACCGGCUAACUCCGUGCCAGCAGCCGCGGUAAUACGGAGGGUGCAAACGUUGCUCGGAAUCACUGGGCGUAAAGCGCACGUAGGCGGCCUUGCAAGUUGGAUGUGAAAGCCCUGGGCUCGACCCAGGAAGUGCAUCCAAAACUGCUUGGCUUGAGUGCCGGAGGGGUUCAGAGAAUUCCCGGUGUAGAGGUGAAAUUCGUAGAUAUCGGGAGGAAUACCAGUGGCGAAGGCGCUGAACUGGACGGUAACUGACGCUGAGGUGCGAAAGCGUGGGUAGCAAACAGGAUUAGAUACCCUGGUAGUCCACGCCGUAAACGAUGAGUGCUAGGCGGUGGGAGAUUUUGACCCUCUCGCUGUCGAAGCUAACGCGUUAAGCACUCCGCCUGGGGAGUACGGUCGCAAGACUAAAACUCAAAUGAAUUGACGG
rnacentral:rRNA from 1 species